GAUGAACGCUGGCGGCGUGCCUAAUACAUGCAAGUCGAGCGAACAGAUCAGGAGUUUGCUCCUUUGACGUUAGCGGCGGACGGGUGAGUAACAUGUGGAUAACAUACCUCUGAGACUGGGAUAAUAUUGGGAAACCGGAGCUAAUACCGGAUAACAUAUCGAAGCGCAUGGAUCACUCGUGAAAGGCGGCUUUGGUGUCAGUUAUAGCUGGAUACGCGCCGUAUUAGCAAGUUGGUGAGGUAGCGGGUUACCAAGGCUACGAUACGUAGCCGACCUGAGCGGGUGGACGCAUAGACUGGAAGAGAGACACAGUCCAGACUCCUACAGGGAGACACAGUAGGGAAUCUUACGCGAGGGACGAGAGCCGGACGGAACAACACCGCGUGAGUGAUGAAGGUCUUCGGAUCGUAAAGCUCUGUUAGCAGGGAAGAACAAAAGUGUAAGUAACUGGGAACAUCAUGACGGUACCUGAAGAGAAAGCCACGGCUAACUACGUG
rnacentral:rRNA from 1 species